rnacentral:rRNA from 1 species
CACGUAGGGCGCAAGCGUUGUCCGGAAUUAUUGGGCGUAAAGAGCUCGUAGGCGGUCUGUUGCGUCCGCUGUGAAAACUCGGGGCUUAACCCCGAGCCUGCAGUGGAUACGGGCAGACUAGAGUGCGGUAGGGGAGAUUGGAAUUCCUGGUGUAGCGGUGGAAUGCGCAGAUAUCAGGAGGAACACCGGUGGCGAAGGCGGUUCUCUGGGCAUUAACUGACGCUGAGGAGCGAAAGCAUGGGGAGCGAACAGG